rnacentral:lncRNA from 1 species
AAAGUUCCCAAGAUGAUCAUGACAAGGCUACACUGGAGCCUGCCACAGUGGUAACUGUUCCAAUUGGUAACAGAUGACCCCACACCUCUUCCUGCACAGCUGGUGCGACACAUGCUGUGAAGGGAAUCAACCUGCUAUUCUUGUACUGAAAGAGAGAAGCACCAAUUCAGCUUUGUUGCUUGAAGCGUGUUGGACCCUUGGUUUACUUCUGAACCUAUUAAAUGUCAAGCACAUGUGCUCAUCCUAGUGCACACUAAGGAGCUUUCGUAGGUAAGGCACAACGAUUUUUUCCUUCUCUGACAAAAACCUUGACAGCUUCUCAAAGAAAAGCAAACAACCAAUCUAUCAAACAAACAUGGAAACCCAAAUGCCUUGAUCUGAAGAAUAGCACACGGGAAAGAAGUGAAAGAGAAAGAUCUGUUCUGGAGAAGUACUAGGAACAAGUGUC